GGGGGGUUAUGUGGCUCAAGAGAAUAUACGACUAUCUACGUAAUUUUGGAUAUUUAAGCCGGAAAUCAAAUUCCAUAAUACGGUAUGAAAAAAAUCAGUUAAAGAGAUGCUCGCCCCUCGCCUAAAUUAAUGGCUGAAUGAUCAUUUUAUUUCAAUGAUUUCAUUGUUGGGCCCAAAAAUGGCCCAGUGCCUGGCCUUGGAUGGAGUUGAAGCAGUAUUAAAGCCUGGGAAUGGAACUCCAAUUAAAGCCUGAAAUAUGAUGAUUUUGCAGCCCAUUAAAAGUUUUCAACCUAAUACUACUUGUUCACGAUGAUAAAAUAAUUGUGAGUGCAACCGGCCAGGAUUUGAAAAGAAGAAAAUCCACAACACAGCUUAAUAGACAUUAUAAGACAUCAGCCCUUGAGGCGAGUUUAGAUUUUGACCACCCCUUUCCUUUUAAAAUCUGAAACAAAAAAUAAAUACAUAUAUUGAGUCAUUGUUUGGUUGCUUCUGAAAUUCAUGCAUAAAAUUUAUUAUGUACAUAUCAAAAGAAUGUUAUUUAUAUUAUGAAUUGGUAUUAGAGAGCGACUCGUGACUUGAUAUGUGGAUGGAUAUCUGAAGCAUUUAAAUAUACAAAGAACACCCUUUACAAUCUAAAUCUCGUUCAUUCAGCCGCAUUAGUUCACCCUUUACAAUGAAGUAGUUCUACUGAAACCAUUUUUUUUUUUCCAAAGAGAAAUAAAGCUAUGAACAAGAAAAUUAGUUCACCCUUUACAAUGAAGUAGUUCUACUGAAACCAUUUUUUUUUUUCCAAAGAGAAAUAAAGCUAUGAACAAGAAAACAUCAAGAAUCAAUUCAGUUUUAGUUCUAAGUUUACAGGAUUGCACUAACCUGAUCUGAAUUUGUGUACCAGUCCCAGGAUCUAUAAAAUCCUUAAUUCUUGAAGCCUUCAGCAACUAUUUCUUGGCAAUGAGACAAAUCUCGACAGACCAGCCAGGAACUGAACCAAACCCUAGUAGUACCUAUGUAACAUGUGCAACUACUAGUGCAGAAUUUGAUGCAGUUCAUGUAUGUAUACUCCAAAGACAUCAAUAAGAGCUUGUGAACAACUGGUACAACAAAAGAUUACCAUGAAAUAGCCAUCAGGGAUUUUUCUAAGAAAGAAAUGGAAAAUUGAUAUGGAUCAUUCAUCAAAUGAACAAAAUUGAUAUGGAGCCAAAUCCACAUCAACCCUUGAAAAAAAUACAAAAUUCAUAACAAAGUCAAUAGUAAAGUGCAUCUGAAGAAAAGUAAGAUACGGAAUAGGUAUGUAACAAGUUAUUAUGCCAUUAAAGAGAGGACAUAACUGAAACGAGGAUAUUGAGAUCAACGUGUUGGAGUACAAGAGACAAUAAAGCAUGAAAUCUGUAGAUUUAUGAACGAUUUGAUGCAUUGCAGCACCAUAAAAAAUUAACUGCAAAACAAGAGAUUUGGCAUAGCACAGGAGGAACUGAGGAUCCAUUCCUCAAAAGCAGCAAAAAUGUAGUUUAUAUUAAGUAUGAGAAAAAAUCUAAUUUUCAACUCAACAGCAAUAUCAGUUUCAAAUGAAGUUACUAAUCACCAGUUUAAUUAAUUCCAUCACAAAAGGUGAAAUAUUCUUUUUUUUUCCAACCCUUGAGUUCCCAUCUAAUGAACUACUAGAAUACUUCAAUUCAUUUUUAUGAAAUAUUUAGAAACAAUAGCUAAAUGAUUGAAAGAAGAAGAAAAUGAGGCCAAAAAAUAGUUAUUUGCCAAAGUUCCAUACUACUGUUUUUGCUGAAGGCAAAUACAUGAUGCAUUAACUGUAUACCAUGAAGCAAGUAGGCGAGUGCAGGACAUUGGACUUAAUGAGCUGUCCAAAUUUGUUUUAAAUGUCCAUUUGUAGACAGUUUGGAAAAACUGAAUUCUUUUUCCUUAAAUACAUAUGGGAUGCAUGUUUAAGUUUUUCCUUUUAUAGGUCUACCAUUGUGAUAAUAUUUGGUAAUCAUUAUAUGAUUACACAUCUCAAUAUCAAGGCAACACUAUUAUUAAAACUAAGCUGAAAUGAAAAUAUUCAGACAAAUGAGGCAAGAGCAAGAAACCAUCCCUCACAAACACACUCUCGCCGAAUGUGAAGCUAUUUAUCAAUCAAUAUCAAUCAAUAUAGAAGUGAGUUUAAUUUUAUAUAAUCAUUCUCUCAAGCUAUUUAUUAUUAUUUUAUACUUCAGAAUCUCGUUUUUACUCAAUUUCAAGUUGUCCCUGUUAUUAAGUAUGAAAACCAGACCAUGAUUCUUACAUCAACAGCUUGAAUGGCUGUGCCGAUGACUUUAAACGCGGCGGCACAGUGGGAAUUGUUCAAGACAUAUCCAUAUGUACCUUAUGUAAUAGGCAUUUCAUGCUUUUAUAACUUUUGUAACUUAAGGAGGUGAUUUCAAAAGUAUUCGCCAUCCUUAGUUAUUAAUCAAUAACUUAUCAUAAAGUUUCCUACAAUACGACAAAAUUGAAAUUAAAUACAUUUAAAGUAGCACAAAUUCACCAUCUAAUUAAAGUGAAAAACGUGUACAACAGUUGGAGAAGAAUCUAACUGCAUUAGUACAUAUGUACUAUUAUCUGCAAUUUUGUAAUUAUAUACCAUUUGUAUAAAUAACACAGCAUGCAAAAGAAUCAAACCACUCAUCUGUUCAUCUCUACUGUUUCAAUUAUCAAAAUUUUCCUCUACCUGGAUCAAACAAUCUCCAAUUGACAAGCCAUAUCCCUCAGAAACAUCUUGCUCGUUUGGUCAUUUGAUCGUGCAGAAGCAGAGGUAUGGAAGCUUUACAAGAUUUUAUUUAAUGCUUUUGUCUAUUUACUCCUAAAUUAUUGUCUCUCUCAUUCGUUGUUAAGGGCAUCUCCUAUUGAUUACGAACCAUGCAAUUUAAAGUACUCUAGAAUUUUCAUGAAAAUUUGAUGGAAGGAGAUUAAUUUGGUGGGUAGGUGUUUUUAAUAUUAAAAUAAUUUUUGGGGAAGAAAAAAUUGCUUUAUAUCCUAUAAAAACUCAUAGAUAAAGACUGUGGGAGUGUUUGGCUGUAACUUCACGAAUAUUUACGUCUACGGCUGCAAUGUAGUUUAAAAUUAAAGUAAACAUUCUUUAUUGUUUUGGCUCUUCAAAUUUUUCUUUAUGGUUAUAUUUUCGUAACGUAUAUGGGUGUGGGUGUUUAUGUUUAUGUUUGUAUCUAGGUUCAGACUAUUGUAACAUAAAUUUUUACUUAAAAUGGAUUCCCAAAUGACCAUAUAUCUUAAUCAGCAACUCAGAUGAUUGAGUUAAUUGAAGUUAAAAUGUAGCAAUUAUUGUUAUCAAUGCAGCAGCUGCCAAACCGUUGGAUAAUUAUACAUGGAUGGUUCAAGAUUUUCUCUUUUUCAGGGUGGGGGUGGACAAACCCCGAACAGAUUUUUUAUCCCCUACCUCUCCCAGGAUUCAAACUGGGGAAGUUAGCCAAAGAAAGCUGCUCGAAAACCACUCAGUCAAGCCCCUAGGGAAAGAGGGAUUAUAGAUUUCAUCUUAAGUUAAAAAAUUUUAGUCACAGCCCCCUAACCCGUGUAUGCGCACGCGCGCGAGCAUGUAUAGAUCAGCGAAGAAAAAUUGCAAAAACAAAAAAAAUAAAUAAAUAAAUCACCCACACAAUUUAACUGCAAUUGAAAUGGAUAUACCUAUAAGAUUAAGAUGUGUAUGCAUGAUAGUCAUCUAGUUGUUUCAACAUAAUGUACAUCUUGGGUAUUAUCAUUCAGUUUUUACUAAAUUAAAGCACCAAUUCUUUGUUGGACUGUUUAUAGUUGAAACCGCUAUGAUUUUUUGUCUCUAGACAACAUUGAAAAUUAAUAAUCUUGGAACUCUGCUUUUACUGCUUUUACUAAUAAAGCAUCCUGCUGUAGAAAGCACUGGUUUCACUGAAGAGCUAAUAAAGUUUCAAUCUAUUGACUCGUAUAAUUGCACCUUUACUCACUAUUUGAAGUCUGAUUACUCAAUGGUGAUCAUCCUUGAGUUUUACAAAAUAAACUAAUAACAGUUAAUCAACCUAUGCAUUAUUUAACUAAAUUCCCCCAUUUUGGCGUAGAGGACCUGCAAGUUUAAGAUAGCUGUGGUGAUAGUAAAUUUAAUAGUGAGUUCAACAAAGUAGGGUACAGUUGUGAUAAGGCACCAUGACUGAGUAAGAUCCAAAUGAUAGCCUAGUUUAAAUUAGAAACAACCCGAGAUGGUCGAUUUAUAUCAAAUUAUACUUGAUUACUCAUCCACUAAUUAAAGAUUAGUUUGGUUAGCUAACUGAUGAUUAAAUAGCUUGCAGAGUACAUCAGCUGUGAACUAUUUCUCUACCAUCAGAUAUUCCAAAUAUUAACAUUUUCCAUUUUGCAGCUUUAAUCUGAGAAGAUUAAUCCUCAAAGAUCAAACAGAAUGGAAAGCGGUGGCAGUGGCGGCAGCAGCAGUAAAAAGGGCAAAAAAGUAGAGCAGCAAAGUAAGAAACGGCAGAAAACUAAUACCAUUGAUUACAUGAAUUACAUACCCGAAGCAAUAGUAUUCCAUAUACUCUCACUAUUGCCGCUGGGAGAGUUGAUUAUAAUGAGUCUUGUAUCACAACGAUGGAAAGACACAGUAGUGCGAUACCUGAAGAUUGUUCCAUCAAGUCUAAAUCUUGACGAAUGUGAGAUGCCAGGAACUAUCCUUAAAAGAGAUGGGCAGUGUUUGCUACGUAGCAAUUUUGCCCAUUCCGGUUACUCUUUACAACAGCGACACUGCUUGAUACGUGCAGCAAGAAAAAGUUUCAUAGAAUUUGUGGACCGAUGCCUCCAGCUCCAUUCCGAUUGCAUGAUCAAUAAUUUGCGGUUGACAUUUCUUCAUGAAGCUGGUGGCGAUUAUGAAUACACUAGGAAGAUUGAUAUGUGGGUUCACUUCGCCUUUACAAAAGACAUCAAAGAGCUUUCGUUGGACUUCUCUGACCUAACACUUUCAAAACCCUUGGCUCAACCAUUUGAACUGCCUCAUGGCUACUUUGCACCCAAGAUAACGAAAACUUUCAGCCUAAAGUUUUGCAAGUUUAGACUAUCUACCUUUCAGGUUUUUGGAUCCCUUAAGGGGAUAUCUUUAGUACAGGUAGAAAUCCUUGAUGGCUCGUUAGCUGAGCUAGCAUCCAAAUGUCCUGUUCUGAAGGAUGUGAACCUGGUAAACUGUGUUUUUCCUGAUCAAUUUAUGAUGAGUGAAGAAGACAUAAUAGUUGAGAAACUAUCAGUGAUUGACUGUAAAACAGAGGAGUGGGAGGCGUGCAAUAUCAAUCUAUCAACUCCAUGCCUACUGAAGCUCCAUAUAGUUGGAAACAUUCUCAUGACAUCACACAUUCGGAACGCAACAAAACUCCUAGAUGUAACUUUUUGCAUGGAGGAGAUAAAUGAAAACUAUUUACAGGGAGAUGCAUUGGGUUCAUUUUUUAUUGAGUUAGGCCACAGUCGAUCUCUAACGGUAAACAAUUGUUGCAUCCAGGUAUCAAGGUCUUCAUUUAAUUGGUUAUAGCUUAAUUUUAAGUUAAUUUGUGCCCUUAACUUGUGAAGUUUUCUUUUGUGUUCAAGGUUCUACCUGCAGGGAAUGAUUUGCUACAAGGAUUGCCAACUUACCUCAACAAUCUUAACCAUUUAUGUUUGUUAGUGGGCCUAGAAAAACAAGAAAUGCCUGGGAUAUCUUGCUUGUUAAGGAGUUCCCCAAAUUUAGAGAAUCUAACCCUACUAUUGCUGGGAACUGGACGGGUGGGCAUUACUAAAUUCUGAAAUUGCUUUCAUAGUUUGACAUUGUAGAUGAUACUAAACCAUUUAGCUUCUAUAUAUUGUAACUUAAUUUUACAGGAAAUUUUCCAAAAUGAUGCCCCACCAUUCUUUGACUUAGAAGAACGGAUUUACUGGGAUGAACGGAAUUCAACUUUCAGUUGUGUACAAAAUUCUCUUAAAAAGGUCACAAUGGACGGGUUUUCCGGAAGAAACAAUGAGAUGAAAUUGAUUCAGUUCCUGCUGAAAAAAGCGAGAGUUCUCCGGAAGAUGGAAAUCAUCUCUAUUUCAACAGCUGAAGUCAUGGAAAAAAUCCAAUAUCUGUCGGAGACGUUGUCUUACUUCCCAAGGGCAUCUCCUCUGGCCAGCAUAGAAUUUUGUUGAAGCCCUUCAACAGUUGAACAUGUAAUGUUCUAUAAAAAUUUCCUUUGUCUCGUUAAGACUUUUCGUUCGACUAGGUAAAAUAAGUAUAUGGGUGCCCUCUUGUGGAGAUUUGGAAAUCUUCACAGAUAGCAUCCAUCCAACAUUAUAUUUCAGAUAUUAUUAUGUCAGUAUCAACCAUCAACUUUCCUUCAUUGCAUAAAAAGGAACUUUGUUUCACCUUGCUAUUGUCUAUGAUGCCUAUCCUAGUUUAAAUUUGGCAGAGAAUUGCAUGCAGGAAUUCAGAAUUGAAGCUUGAGAUGUGAUAAGCUUGCUCAUUGAGAAACAAAGUCAUCAAUCAAGAUCUUCAAUCCUCUUAUAGCCUAGUUAACAUGAUUUCUCAUAUGAUUCUCUAAAUAUAAUGCUUUGAAAAAUCCACAAAAUUAAAAAAUAAGAAACAAAUCAAAUACUCCCAGCAUAUCGCACAAAAAAAUCAAAUGAUAUCAUACCUAGUUCAAAUUAAACCACCGUAGAUGCCAUAAUGCCAAAAAAAUUGCGCAAAAACACAGAGACGCAAAGAAAUAGUAGAUAAAAUUAAUUUAGAAUUAAAAAAAAAAAGGUGACAGCAAGAUAUAAUAAAUGUGUGAAAUUGAAUGAAAUUUCUUUUACCUGAGUCUGUGAAGCCAUGAGCUAUUCUCUGAAUGCAUAGCUCUGAAUGCAAAGAGUAGACGAAGACUCUAACAGAGCGCAAAUUAUGAAAUUUUUUGGCUGAAUAAUAAUUGAAAUAAAAUUUGAUUUGGUGAUAAAAAUAAAAAGCGACCUAAUUUACUAUUAACGAGGCUCAUAUAACACAAGCCCAACAGUUAAAAAAAAUCAAAUUCCGAAUAGCCCCAUAACAUUCAGCCCAAAUCAAAGAAAUAAAAGGGGAC
rnacentral:lncRNA from 1 species